ACAUUAUUGAUUGUGAAUCGUUGCCUCCAGUGCUGGCUCUCCCAAGUGCACGGUUGGUGACUUUCAUCCAACACCCUGUGAACCUUUGGCCUCUUGCUAGCUUCGGCUGGCAGAGGAUUUUUACACACACUCGAAUGUAAUGAAAUUAUUGUCGUGCGCAAGCACUUAUGUACAACUUUCAACAACGGAUCUCUUGGCUCUCGGGGGGGGGGAGGACGCAGCGAAAUGCGAUAAGUAAUGUGAAUUGCAGAAUUCAGUGAAUCAUCGAAUCUUUGAACGCACCUUGCACCCUUUGGCAUUCCGAAGGGUAUGCUCGUUUGAGUGUCAUUGUACUCUCACACUUCUGAUCCUUUGGAUUUGGAGCGGUGGACUUGGGUGUUGCCACUUGACGGUGGCUCACCUCUAAUGCAUUAGUGCAACUCCUGGUUGGACCAUAGUAGCUGGGGGGAGGGGGUGAACUUCCCCGGCACCUCGUGAGAGGGUGGCCGAUCGAGAGCUCUGUGCUUUCAAACCGUCCUUGCAGGACAAUGACUGACAACUUGAUCUCAAAUCGAGUAGGACUACCCGCUGAACUAAGCAUAU
rnacentral:misc_RNA from 1 species